ensembl:miRNA
UGACGCUUUGCUGGCUGGUGCAGUGCCAGAGGGAGUAAGAGCCCUGUUGUUGUAAGGUAGUGUCUUACUCCCUCAGACACAUCUCCAGCAAGUCUCU